rnacentral:misc_RNA from 1 species
CGGUACAGACAAUUUUGACCCGUUGAGCCGAACGGAGAGCAUUUUGAUUAUUUCGCCUUCAGAGGUGAUUUUUGGCCGACUUGUCCAGUUGAGUAAAUAAUUAAUAUGACAUAAAAUAUGAAGAAAUAUUACUAAAAAUUAAUGUGAAAAUGAGUAGAGAAAAGAAGAAAAGAAAAUGAAAGAAAAACCUAAAUAUGACAUCACAUGAUGUCAUUUGGAGGGCUUCCACCAAUCACAACCUAAUAAGCCAAAUUAAAAAGAGAAAAAAAUAGCCUAAAUCUUCAAUAAAGUUUUUGAAUAAAUAAAUCAAGGACUGUAAUGAAAUCAGAUAAAAUAGAGUGCUCCGGCACACUGAGUGGCAUAACUUG